rnacentral:rRNA from 1 species
GGUGAAAAGCACCCCGGAAGGGGAGUGAAAUAGAACCUGAAACCGUGUGCUUACAAGUAGUCAGAGCCCGUUAAUGGGUGAUGGCGUGCCUUUUGUAGAAUGAACCGGCGAGUUACGAUUUGAUGCAAGGUUAAGCAGUAAAUGUGGAGCCGUAGCGAAAGCGAGUCUGAAUAGGGCGUUUAGUAUUUGGUCGUAGACCCGAAACCAGGUGAUCUACCCUUGGUCAGGUUGAAGUUCAGGUAACACUGAAUGGAGGACCGAACCGACUUACGUUGAAAAGUGAGCGGAUGAACUGAGGGUAGCGGAGAAAUUCCAAUCGAACCUGGAGAUAGCUGGUUCUCUCCGAAAUAGCUUUAGGGCUAGCCUCAAGUGAUGAUUAUUGGAGGUAGAGCACUGUUUGGACGAGGGGCCCCUCUCGGGUUACCGAAUUCAGACAAACUCCGAAUGCCAAUUAAUUUAACUUGGGAGUCAGAACAUGGGUGAUAAGGUCCGUGUUCGAAAGGGAAACAGCCCAGACCACCAGCUAAGGUCCCAAAAUAUAUGUUAAGUGGAAAAGGAUGUGGCGUUGCCCAGACAACUAGGAUGUUGGCUUAGAAGCAGCCAUCAUUUAAAGAGUGCGUAAUAGCUCACUAGUCGAGUGACACUGCGCCGAAAAUGUACCGGGGCUAAACAUAUUACCGAAGCUGUGGAUUGUCCUUUGGACAAUGGUAGGAGAGCGUUCUAAGGGCGUUGAAGCAUGAUCGUAAGGACAUGUGGAGCGCUUAGAAGUGAGAAUGCCGGUGUGAGUAGCGAAAGACGGGUGAGAAUCCCGUCCACCGAUUGACUAAGGUUUCCAGAGGAAGGCUCGUCCGCUCUGGGUUAGUCGGGUCCUAAGCUGAGGCCGACAGGCGUAGGCGAUGGAUAACAGGUUGAUAUUCCUGUACCACCUAUAAUCGUUUUAAUCGAUGGGGGGACGCAGUAGGAUAGGCGAAGCGUGCGAUUGGAUUGCACGUCUAAGCAGUAAGGCUGAGUAUUAGGCAAAUCCGGUACUCAUUAAGGCUGAGCUGUGAUGGGGAGAAGACAUUGUGUCUUCGAGUCGUUGAUUUCACACUGCCGAGAAAAGCCUCUAGAUAGAAAAUAGGUGCCCGUACCGCAAACCGACACAGGUAGUCAAGAUGAGAAUUCUAAGGUGAGCGAGCGAACUCUCGUUAAGGAACUCGGCAAAAUGACCCCGUAACUUCGGGAGAAGGGGUGCUCUUUAGGGUUAACGCCCAGAAGAGCCGCAGUGAAUAGGCCCAAGCGACUGUUUAUCAAAAACACAGGUCUCUGCUAAACCGUAAGGU